GACGAACGCUGGCGGCGUGCUUAACACAUGCAAGUCGAACGGAAAGGCCCUGCUUUUGUGGGGUGCUCGAGUGGCGAACGGGUGAGUAACACGUGAGUAACCUGCCCUUGACUUUGGGAUAACUUCAGGAAACUGGGGCUAAUACCGGAUAGGAGCUCCUGCUGCAUGGUGGGGGUUGGAAAGUUUCGGCGGUUGGGGAUGGACUCGCGGCUUAUCAGCUUGUUGGUGGGGUAGUGGCAUACCAAGGCUUUGACGGGUAGCCGGCCUGAGAGGGUGACCGGCCACAUUGGGACUGAGAUACGGCCCAGACUCCUACGGGAGGCAGCAGUGGGGAGUAUUGCACAAUGGGCGGAAGCCUGAUGCAGCAACGCCGCGUGCGGGAUGACGGCCUUCGGGUUGUAAACCGCUUUCGCCUGUGACGAAGCGUGAGUGACGGUAAUGGGUAAAGAAGCACCGGCUAACUACGUG
rnacentral:rRNA from 1 species